CAAGUACUUCUGGCUCUCUGAUGCAGUCGAGCGGAACGACACUAACAAUCCUUCGGGUGCGUUAAUGGGCGUCGAGCGGCGGACGGGUGAGUAAUGCCUAGGAAAUUGCCUUGAUGUGGGGGAUAACCAUUGGAAACGAUGGCUAAUACCGCAUAAUGCCUACGGGCCAAAGAGGGGGACCUUCGGGCCUCUCGCGUCAAGAUAUGCCUAGGUGGGAUUAGCUAGUUGGUGAGGUAAUGGCUCACCAAGGCGACGAUCCCUAGCUGGUCUGAGAGGAUGAUCAGCCACACUGGAACUGAGACACGGUCCAGACUCCUACGGGAGGCAGCAGUGGGGAAUAUUGCACAAUGGGCGAAAGCCUGAUGCAGCCAUGCCGCGUGUAUGAAGAAGGCCUUCGGGUUGUAAAGUACUUUCAGUUGUGAGGAAGGGGGUAAUGUUAAUAGCGCUAUCUCUUGACGUUAGCAACAGAAGAAGCACCGGCUAACUCCGUGCCAGCAGCCGCGGUAAUACGGAGGGUGCGAGCGUUAAUCGGAAUUACUGGGCGUAAAGCGCAUGCAGGUGGUUCAUUAAGUCAGAUGUGAAAGCCCGGGGCUCAACCUCGGAACUGCAUUUGAAACUGGUGAACUAGAGUACUGUAGAGGGGGGUAGAAUUUCAGG
rnacentral:rRNA from 1 species